GGAUUAGAUACCCGGGUAGUCCACGCCCUAAACGAUGUCAACUAGUUGUUGGGUCUUCAUUGACUUAGUAACGUAGCUAACGCGUGAAGUUGACCGCCUGGGGAGUACGGUCGCAAGAUUAAAACUCAAAGGAAUUGACGGGGACCCGCACAAGCGGUGGAUGAUGUGGAUUAAUUCGAUGCAACGCGAAAAACCUUACCUACCCUUGACAUGGUCGGAACCUCGCUGAAAGGUAGGGGGUGGCUCGAAAGAAGAACCGAUACACAGGUGCUGCAUGGCUGUCGUCAGCUCGUGUCGUGAGA
rnacentral:rRNA from 1 species